UACAGAGGUCUCAAGCGUUGUCCGGAUUCAUUGGGCGUAAAGGGCGCGUAGGUGGCGGGGUAAGUCAGGUGUGAAAUCUCGGGGCUCAACCCCGAGACUGCACUUGAUACUGCCUUGCUAGAGUACUGGAGAGGAGAUUGGAAUUUACGGUGUAGCAGUGAAAUGCGUAGAUAUCGUAAGGAAGACCAGUGGCGAAGGCGAAUCUCUGGACAGUUACUGACACUGAGGCACGAAGGCCAGGGGAGCGAACGGG
rnacentral:rRNA from 1 species